rnacentral:rRNA from 1 species
UACGAGGGGUGCAAGCGUUGCUCGGAAUCACUGGGCGUAAAGGGUGCGUAGGCGGGUCUUAAGUCAGGGGUGAAAUCCUGGAGCUCAACUCCAGAACUGCCUUUGAUACUGAAGAUCUUGAGUUCGGGAGAGGUGAGUGGAACUGCGAGUGUAGAGGUGAAAUUCGUAGAUAUUCGCAAGAACACCAGUGGCGAAGGCGGCUCACUGGCCCGAUACUGACGCUGAGGCACGAAAGCGUGGGGAGCAAACAGG